AGCAGCCGCGGUAAUUCCAGCUCCAAUAGCGUAUAUUAAAGUUGUUGCAGUUAAAAAGCUCGUAGUUGAAUUUCGGGAUCAAUUAAUUGGUCGUGCCUCUGGUACGUACUGAUUUUAUUGGUUUCUCCCUUCUGACGAACCAUGAUGUCAUUAAUUUGGUGUCGUGGAGAAUCAGGACUGUUACUUUGAAAAAUUAGAGUGUUUAAAGCAAGCUAACGCUUGAAUACAUUAGCAUGGAAUAAUGAAAUAGGACGUUUGAUCCUAUUUUGUUGGUUUCUAGGAUCGACGUAAUGAUUAAUAGGGAUAGUUGGGGGCAUUAGUAUUCAAUUGUCAGAGGUGAAAUUCUUGGAUUUAUUGAAGACUAACUACUGCGAAAGCAUUUGCCAAGGAUGUUUUCAUUAAUCAAGAACGAAAGUUAGGGGAUCGAAGACGAUCAGAUACCGUCGUAGUCUUAACCAUAAACUAUGCCGACUAGGGAUCGGAUGAUGUUAAUUUUUUAAUGUACUCAUUCGGCGCCUUA
rnacentral:misc_RNA from 1 species